rnacentral:lncRNA from 1 species
UCCGGAAAGGGCUGGCGUGGUGCAGCGGCAGAGACCUGGGCCUGCAAGAGGAAGAGAAUCGCCUGAGGACACAGGAGCGGGGACGGGAGCCAGGCUUUGAGUCAGUCCUCCCUCUCCUGGGCAAGCCAUGGAUCAUCCUGCCCAGCACUUCUCGUCCUUGACGGCUGAGUUCUGAAGGGAGGAAGGCAAGACCCGAAGAGACAGAUGGACACUCCCAGGAUGACACAGUUCACAGCAAGGCCAAGAUGCAAAUUAAUCUCCUAACUCUCAUUACAACAGCUUCUACUUUU